UGUAGAGCAAUGGAUAGCACGUUGGACUUCUAAUCCACAGCUCGUGGGUUUGAAUCCCACCUUUAA